rnacentral:rRNA from 1 species
CCUACGGGUGGCUGCAGUGAGGAAUAUUGGUCAAUGGACGCGAGUCUGAACCAGCCAAGUAGCGUGAAGGAUGACUGCCCUAUGGGUUGUAAACUUCUUUUAUAUGGGAAUAAAACGUUCCACGUGUGGGAUUUUGUAUGUACCAUAUGAAUAAGGAUCGGCUAACUCCGUGCCAGCAGCCGCGGUAAUACGGGGGAGCCGAGCGUUAUCCGGAUUUAUUGGGUUUAAAGGGAGCGUAGGUGGAUUGUUAAGUCAGUUGUGAAAGUUUGCGGCUCAACCGUAAAAUUGCAGUUGAAACUGGCAGUCUUGAGUACAGUAGAGGUGGGCGGAAUUCGUGGUGUAGCGGUGAAAUGCUUAGAUAUCACGAAGAACUCCGAUUGCGAAGGCAGUUCACUGGACUGCAACUGACACUGAGGCUCGAAAGUGUGGGUAUCAAACAGGAUUAGAUACCCUGGCAGUC